rnacentral:rRNA from 1 species
AACGAACGCUGGCGGCAUGCCUAACACAUGCAAGUCGAACGAAGCCUUCGGGUUUAGUGGCGCACGGGUGCGUAACGCGUGGGAACCUGCCCCUUGCUUCGGAAUAACAGCUCGAAAUGACUGCUAAUACCGGAUGAAGUCUUCGGACCAAAGAUUUAUCGGCAAUGGAUGAGCCCGCGUAGGAUUAGGUAGUUGGUGGGGUAAAGGCCUACCAAGCCGACGAUCCUUAGCUGGUCUGAGAGGAUGAUCAGCCACACUGGGACUGAGACACGGCCCAGACUCCUACGGGAGGCAGCAGUGGGGAAUAUUGGACAAUGGACGAAAGUCUGAUCCAGCAAUGCCGCGUGAGUGAUGAAGGCCUUAGGGUUGUAAAGCUCUUUUACCAGGGAUGAUAAUGACAGUACCUGGAGAAUAAGCUCCGGCUAACUCCGUG